rnacentral:lncRNA from 1 species
CGAAUACCGAUCCUCCAUAACUCCACCUAAACCGAAUACCCCUCACUUUCCACCUCCACCUCACUCAACCUAUCAACAUCCUUAUCUUCGUCCAUCUUAAUAUUUUCAAAACCCAUAUUCAAUAUUGGAAUUUCAAUCCUUGCCGGCUGUUUCUGGUUCAAAGCCAUCACCUUCGAUGACCCAUCUUCAUCUUUAUUGUUGAAUGGUUAUUUGAUAGCUAAAGCCAAUAGUGAAAACGACAGCGGAGGAGGAGAGGUGACGAUCUUGCAGAAAAUGGGCCAUACAUUUUUUAAGGACGGAUUAAACAUGGGAGAGUUUGAUGUUGCCGCUAUAGCGCAAGGUAUAACUGCUAAUUCUUCUCUUCGUUAAUUCAAAACCAAUUUUUUGAUGGAGUGGAAGGGCUUGGACUAUUUGCAAACUGCUGAUUUUUCUUCUCUUUGUUAAAUCAAAACCAAUUUUUCUUGUCCUUCACCGUUCGAGUGCGCGAGAACCUGCUUCUCAUACUCUUUUAGUCAUUUUUAAGUAUUUCAAGGUAAGCCCACUGGUCUGGACACCUUUCGAAGAUUUUUGAUCCAUAAUGAUAUAGAUAUCCUUAUCCUCAUCCUCAUCCUCGUACUGGAAUGACAAUGGUGUCGUUAUGAUUUCAACAUUUCGACACAACACUAUCCAGUGUAAAUUACGAUCUCGAGCGAAACCUUAAUCUGGCUCCGAAAAAUAAUACAUCGCAAACGGUUUCAAAUGUAGUAAAUGAAGUAGGAACACCUAUCGUCGAAUGAAUUAACACCGUUUACUUGUUCUUCACCGUAUGAGUAUCGUGACCCUUUUAGUCAUUUCAAGUAUUCCUAGGCGCAUCUACUGGUCUUGGGUGCAUCUUGAAAUGUUUUGAGCCAUGAUUUAAUUGAAUGUCAUUGAUUUAAUACAUCUACACACAUGUGCAACUUCAUAAAGAUAUAAGCUUAGUAUUACUCAAUAUAGAUUAAAAAAAUAAUUGAUAUUUAAUUAUCAAAAUUUUAGUCAUCGUCUUGAACUAUUGUUGAAAUGGAUUAAUAAAGGGGGAUUCAAAAUUUCAGUGCUUGUCGUUAAUAUAAUUGGUGAAUUAAUCGUCAAGAUUAAACAAGUAUUGUCAUUGUCUUGAAUUGUUGUUGAAAUUGAUUAAUAGAGGGGGAUUCAAAUUUCUAGAGCUUGUCAUUAAUUGAGUUUAUAGAUGUCUCUUAGUUGUUCAUUCGUUUAGUUUUCAGAUAACUAGUUAUAAAACCAGUACAAUCAUAUUAUGCUAUUCAAUUAGAGUUAAUAUUAAUAGAUUACAAAUCAAUUCAAUUAUUAGCUAAGUAAUUGAAAGCAUUAAGACUAUAAUAAUCAUUCAUGAUAAUCAAGAAUCAAAUGUCACGAUCUCAAAGUUGAAACUAAAACUUCCUAAUAAUAGGGUUCAAUUUUCAUCCUAGUGAAUAGUAAUUUAGCCAAACAUUAUAAAGUUAGAAAAAUUCAUAUUUGAAUGUUGAUACAUCACCCGAAUUUUAAUUAUGGAAAGGAAAAGAGGAAAAGCUACGAAUUCUUGAAUUUCCUUAACCAUUCUUGAACAAUCUCCUUUUACCUUCUUUUUUUCUUCGCCUAGGAAUGAGUAUUCUUUUAUCUUGCCUCUUGUUUUCUCUCUAAAGCCUGGUUCUUCGAAAUUUGGUAUCCAAAGUCAGAUAAAAACAAAUAUGAAUUGCACUCCAUAAAGAGUUUGAGGUAAAAAAGGAAAUAGAAUAUAUUUUGUUGGAAUGAAUCAUGUGACGACAUGGUUAUGGCCAUUGAGAUUGCUCGGCUUUGUUAAAUUGUCUACAACUCAUUUCGGAUGACUUGUAAGGUAUACACCUUUCGAUUGCAAGGCGUUAACUUUUGCUUUUCUUCACUUUCGUCCCUAAAUUUCUUCUUCUUUCUAGCUUGAGUCCUCUUUUAUACUUUUCAUGAAUCUUUUAACUUCAACUUUUGUCGAUUUUGAUCCAUGUUAUCUUUAAUUGUCCAUCCUUGGUCUGAAUCAAGUUUUAAAAAUUAGUAAUUUAGUCCUUGAACUUUUAUAAUUUUUCUUCUUUAGCCUUUUGGGCCAGUUUUCAUUUUUUUCAUCAUUAGCUUUUUAACAUUGAAUUUGCCUUAUAACAAUCGAUAUUUAGCAAAAUAAAGUAGUAAUUCCAUCAAUUUGAGUUCAAAAUAUUCCCUUUUGACAACUUGAAUAAGUGUAAAUCAUAGUUAUCAAAUAUGAAUAUUGUUAUCGUUGUACUAAAAUGACAAGGGUGUCCUUAUGGCAGUUUCAUUCGUGUUUUGCACUUUAAUGUUUCGAAACAAAUUUAUUGGGUGUGAAUAUCAAUUUUGAGCGAGAUAUCUUGAUUUGGCUAGAUGUAUGUGCCAGGUCCAAAUGUACUGGCAAAGUUUCAUCUUCAAAAUGUUAUUUAUUGAGUUGUAAUUAAAGUUAAAGAGUGAGGGAUUGGGAGUGUUUUGAAGAAAUCUAAGACAACUCAAGAAGAUCAACCGCUCAAGCAUUUUCAGCAGAGAAGGACUGCUCGAUGUCCACUUGGAGAUUGUUCGAGCAGUUGUAUUACUCGGCUAAACCCUAGUUCUCAAUUUUUAAAUUUUUUACACUCUCAUACAACCCCCAAACACUCUAUAUUAUAAAUGCCAAGGCAUAUGUGGUCCAAAACAUGUGUUAAGCCUGUUCAUUCAAAAGAACACUUCGUUGAAGAUCAAUUACAUAAUACAUAAUUCUCUUGACUAAACAACAAGAUCAAAUCACCAAAAUACAAAAAGAUAAAACACCAACAAAGGGAAUUGUUCUUACAACAUCCUUCCUAUCUCCUUGUACUAAGUAAAAAGAAAUAAGUUAGGGAUCUAUUUCAUCUGAUCCUAAGUUCUUUUCUUUUGUUUUACUUCUUCGAAGUUCAAUUUCAACAUCUUUUAUGGAUGUUUUUUCUGGUGAGCUUCUAAAAAUUGAAAUAUCCUUAUUAUUAUUUUCAGAUUUCCUAGCCACCAUUAUAUCCUCGAAGAAUUUCAUAUCUCUUGAUUUUAUUAUAACAUCUGUUUCGAGAGUUAAUAAUCUAUAGGUAGGGAUGUAAAUGAGUCGAGCCGAGCUGGCUCGAGCUCGGCUCGAGUAAAUUAUACCGGGCCCGAGCCCGAGCCCGAGCCGAGCUUUGGCUCGGCCAAAAAAAUACGGCUUGGCCCAAGCUUUUGUCUCGGGCUUUUUACGAGCCGGGCCAGCUCGAUUUUUUAAUUUAUUAUUUUUUUUGCCAAUUUUUAAUGACAUUUUUUUCACAUGCCAAUUGUUGUAGUGCAAAUUGUUUAAUGUAGAAGGCAAAGAAAUUGUUUAAUGACAUUUUUUUCACAUUUUUUUUAAAGAAUUUAAAAAUUGCAUCAUCUAUUAUUUAUACAAAUUACAAAUUAAAUAAAAGUACAACUUACAAAAUUAUGUCAUUUAUACGAAUAACAAAUUAAAUAAAAGUUACAAAUUACAACCCUCCUCCUUUUUUCGGGUUUGGGACCGCCUACAAUCAACGUAGGCGGAGUUAAAAUUGUACACGAAUAAAAUAUUUCGUAUACAAUUUUUCUUGAAUCAAAUAAAUUUAAAAAAUACAUUUCUUAAAAAAAAUAAUUAAUUUAAAAACUUACAACAUCCUAUGUUUGGAUAUGCUGCAACUCUUCGACCAUUAUACUAUCAACAUGUUCUUGAACACGUAAUUCCGCACAUUCCCAAUCCUUCAAGCAUAUAAAGCCUCCAAUAUAUAUUCUUUUAGUUUUGAUCGUUCAUCUGAUAAAAUUCGACCACCUAAAUUGAAUGCAGCCUCUAAUGCUACUGUAGACACUGGAGGUGUUAGUAGAUCACGUGCAAUUUUUGAUACAAUUGGAUAUUGCCUUUCGUUAUACCUCCACCAAUUUAAAAGACUAAAUUCUUGUAAUUCAUUUGGUUGCAACACACUACGAACAUCCACGCACAUAUACCUAGCUAACUCAGAAGGAAUUUCAAGAUUUGUACCACCAAUAUUGAUUGCUCUAGAUGUUGAUGAAUUAGAACUAGAAUUAAAUGAAGAAACACUUGUAUUGCUAUCUAAAUAAUUCCAUAAAAUUUCGGAAUUUGUUGAGAUAUUUCUUGAAAAAGAACCUUGGGAAGUAGAACUACCCUGACCUACCUUUUCAGUAUAAUAAUUAUACAUUUCACACAAAAAAGAUUCUAUAUGCACAUGUGAUAAUUCUAUAUUCAAAUAAUCUGAUAUCCCCUUUACAGUAGCUUUUGUGCCAAUUAAAUUAAGUCGAUGAUCCAUUACUGAAGUUAAAAGAAAUAAAGAAGGCAACUCUUCCCAAUAUUUACAAAAUUUUAACUCUAUAGAGCGGACUUCAUUAGAAAAAAGUGGCAAAUUCCUAUAUUUAUGAAAUACUUGUGAAAUGUAGAAAAAAUGUUGUAAAACACGAGAAGAUGUAGGGUAAUAAACACCGCUACAUUCUUUUGUAGUAUCGAAAAAAGGUUGUAAGAAUUUUUUCAUGUAAAAUGUAAUAGUCCAUUCCCAAUCUUCCAAAUUAUGUUCGGGUCCGAGUGUAUGCCUACCAUUAUAAUAUAGUGAAAUUAUUUUAUCGUAAUUUUCACACGAAUGUAACAUAAGAUAUGUAGAGUUCCACCUAUGAGUUACAUCAGUGGCAAAUGAUUUCUCCUGUAAUCCAUACUAUGUACACAAACUAUUAAAUGUUUGUUUUGUUGCUGGUGACACAGUAAUAAAAUUUAUUACUUGUCUAAUUUUAUCUAAAUGUGAAAUUAUAUGUUCUAAUCCAACUUUUACAAUCAAAUUAAUAAUAUGACAUACACAACGUUGAUGAAAAAAUAAAUUUCCAAAUACGGGGUUAAGAUCAGCAAUAAAUCUUUCAAUAACAAUUUUGUUCACUGCAGCAUUAUCAAAAGUAAAAUUUCGAACCAUAUCUUGUAUACCAUAUUCCUGUAUGAUAUUUUUUAAAACAAUGUAUAUGGUAGUGGCAUUAUGAGGACAUUCUACACAUCUGAAUGCAAUAAUUCUUUUAUGUAAAAGCCACAGGUGAUCAAUAUAAUGAGCCGUAGCAGCAAUAUAACAUUUUCUAUUACAAUCAGCCCAUAAAUCAGAAGUAAACGAUAUAACACUAUUAAAACUUUUUAGACUUUCAAUAGUAACUUGUUUUCUUCUGUUAUAUAAUUUUAUGCUAUCCGAACGAAAAGUAUUUCUAGAAUAAGAAGAAUACUUGGGUUGAAGAUAUUUCUGCACGAGUCGAGUAAAGUGUAUUGAGUAUAUCAUCGUAAGCGGCAUCUCUGUUGCAGCCACGUAUGCAGCCAUUCCUUCACGAAAUCUUUCCUGUGAAUAUGAAAAGGUGGAAAGAGUAAAAUUAGAACCGCCAAACACUAGUUUGGUCUGUUUCGAGUCGAGAUCGGCUGGUUUCACUUUGUAACUCCUUAAUACGUGUCUAUUCAAAUGCGUUGUGCUUGAACCGGGCUUCCGACUAAGUUCUUUGCCACAGUAAUUGCAACAUGCUUUCCAAAUAUCUACUCCAUUUUGAACACCAGUUUUUUCACGUGUCAUAUGUUGCCAACAAUCCGAUAAUUCUUUUUUUUGACCUUUUUGUCUCGAGUACUUGAACUUCUUCCUUUUCAAUAUCCUUCAAAUUAACUGGAACAUUUUGACAUGCAUUGUAGUUAGAUGGAGUACUCGAGCUACCGCUAAACUGAUUAACUUCAUCACUUGUAAAAUCCAUAAUAGCUAGUAUAAUAAAAAAUAUUGAAUAUUAAACUGUAGAGUGAAAGAAAUUGAAACUUGAAUGAUUGAAUCUGAAUCUAUAAUAUAGAAAUAAUGCGAAUUAAAAUCGAUAACAAAGUGAUUUAAAACUUCAAAAAUCACCCCGUAUUUAUAGACAAAAAACUCGCGUUAUUUUUCAAAUUUGAAUUUCAAAAUCUACACAACUACACCUCGUAAAAAAUGCAACUAUAGUUGCCCCAGCCGGCAGCUGUAACCUACUGCCUGUCACUGACCUACUGCCGAUUUUUUUUUUUAAAAAAUAUUUUUUUUUGCCCUUUAAUAUAGCUCGGGCCGAGCAUUAUUGUCACGGGCCAAAAAUGGCCCGUGACACGAGCCGGGUCGUCUGGCUCGACGAGCCACAUGGGCUUGCUCGAACUCAGGCCGACUUCUUAUUUUGAGGCUCAGUUUCUACGAGCCAUGAGCCAGGCGGGCUCGGGCUUUUCCCAAGCCGGGCCACGAGCCGCCCUAGCCACCAAGUCUUUUUGACAUCCCUAUCUAUAGGCUUUGCUACUGAGAGCAUAUCCCACAAAAGCACAUUUGAUACCUCUAGGACCUAACUUGAUUCUCUUAGGAUCCAUAUUCUUACAAUAGAUAAGGCACCCCCACACUUUAAAAUAACUAAUAUUUGGUUUUCUACUUUUCCAAAUUUCAUAUGGAGAAAUUUUAUUCUUUUUUAUAGGAAUCCUAUUUAUUAUAUGGCAAGCAUUAAGUAAGGCUUCACCCCAUACAUUAAAGGGUAAUUUAGAAUUUAACAAGAUUGCAUUUAUCAUUUCCAAAAUAGUUCUAUUCUUUCUUUCUGCUAAUCUAUUAUGUUCCGGUGUUCUAGGUGCAGAAGCUUGUUGUAUUAUUCCAUUUUGUUUACAAAACAUGUUAAAUUUAUUAGAAAAAUAUUUCCCACUUCUAUCACUUCUUAAAGUUUUUAAUAUUUUUCCUAAUUGAUUUUCUACUUCAAUCUUAUAAGUUUUAAAGGAACUAAAUGCUUCAUCCUUAUGUUUUAAUAAGUACACAUAUGUAUAUCUAGAGCAAUCAUCAAUAAAAGUAAUAAAAUAUAUAUUACCGCCUCUAGUUAACAUUUCAUUCAAUUCACAUAUGUCGGAGUGAACAAGUUCAAGUGAUCUUGUUGUUCUUACUACGCUAUGAAAUGACUUUUUAAUUAUUUUUUAUUUAACACAUGUUUCACAUUUUUUGAAAUUGUCAUCAUCACAUUAUAUUAAUCCACAUUUAAUCAUUCUUUUCAUAGUAUUAACUCCUAUAUGUGCUAAUCUACCAUGCCAUAAAUUAAAUGAAUUAGUAACAUACGCAAAAAGAUUUAAUUUUAUUUGAGUUAUCCUCAAUAGUACAUAAUUUGACCAUUCCUUCGGUGGAAUAGCCAUUUUCAAAAAUAGAUUUAAUUCCUUGUUUUUCCAAGAGUACACCACUUGCUAAAUUUCUAUUUAUUUUUGGUACGUGCAAGACAUUGGUCAUAGUGAUUUUCUUUCCCGAAGAGAAAAUGAAUUCCACAUUUCCUUUGCCAAUCACUUUUGAUCUUUCUUCAUUUCCCAUUUGUAUCUCUUGAUUGUCUUCAAUGUCAUGAUAAGUUUUGAAAAGAGACUUAUCAUAACAUAUAUGGAUUGUAGCGCAUGUAUCUUACCACCAGCUCGGAACUUUGCCUUGGAUUGCAUUGAUUUCGCUCACCGUGGCGAUAAUCAUCAAUGGAGUUCACUUGUUCUUUCUUUUUUUUGUUGUUUUCUAUGUCUACAAUUAUUGGCAUAGUGUCCCGAUUUUCUACCAACAUAGCAAGGUCCUUUGACUUUAUUUUUGAACUUUCCUUGAUCCUUUCUAGGACCAAAAAAUUUUCCUUUCUUUUUAAAUUUAUUGGAGUUGUCCACAUUGUCCACGACAUUAGCCUUUGAAGGGCCUUCAUAAGAAUUUUCAAUCUUAUCUCUUGCCAUUGAUUCUUCCUCAAUACGAAGAUGUUUUUGUAUAUCUUCCAAAGAAAAGUUUUCGGAAUUGUGAUGAAUCUUCUUCCUAUAUCCUUUCCAAGAACCAUGAAGUUUAGCGAUAAUAGCUCCCACUUGGAAAGUUUCAGGAAGUUCGAUUUUCAUCGUUUUUAGUUUGUUUACAAUUAUUUGUAACUCAUACACUUGAGGCAAUAAUGGUAUAUUAUCCAAAAAUUUGAAAUCUAAAUACUUAGAUAUUAAGAACUUUUUGGUACCUUCCUCCUCGAAUUUGUAUUUGCUUUCUAGUGCGUACCAGAUUUCUUUUAUCGAUGUAGUGUUGGUGUAGAGAUCAUAUAGGCGAUCAGAUAACGCAUUUAGGAUAUGGCCACGACAUAUCAAUUCGUCCUCUUCCCGUUUCUUCCUUUCUACGCAAAUUUCUUCGGUAUUAUUGUCAGUUGCGUUGGGAAUGGGAUCCAGUUUUGGAUCAAGCACAUAGAAGAUCUUCAAGGCCAUUAAUCGAAAUUUAAGUUUGUCUUGCCAUCUUGUGAAAUUGCACCAUCGAAUCUGUCCAAGCGUACCAGAUCUUGAUUCAUCAUUUUGAUAGUAACAAUUGUAGAUUCCGUCUCCUUUGCAAUAAUAGUAACAAAUAACGUUUGAGAUUGUUGAAAAUAAUGACAAUGGAGAAGAAAAUUAUUAAAGUAUAUCAAUGAAGGCUUAAACACGAAAUUAAUCUCGCUGUCCUCAAAUGUUAUUUGCCUUCUUUCCAAUGCUUUUUAAGAAUUUUCGACAAAUAGCUUGUAAGAUUAAAUAAGUCUUGACAAGAAGAACACGAAAAACCAAAGGUGUUUCUUCACAAUGAACAAGUGAAAAUAGAAGAAUUAUGUGAUAAAUUUUCUCAAUAUUGGAAGUAUAUUUGAGGAUAAUUUUUAAUGGAACUCAAUAUAUCUUUCUUGCACUUGGAUUACCUAUUUAUAGGCCUUUGCAAGUUUUUCACGCCGCAUGGAUUAAGCUCCCCCCCCCCCCCCCCCCCCCCCUCCCUCCCUUUUUACUUUAAUUUUGAACAAUAAAUUUCCAACAAACUCGAGUUGAAUACUGAUGUGUCGGUUCGAAGAACAUAGGUUCAUCAACUUGGGAGCUGUACUAUGCAACAACGAUGGAGUCGGUACAAUCAAAGUAGCUGAUGUAGUGUUUUGAGACAGAUGAUGCAGUGGGCCAGAGGCCCAAGCUUUGAGGGAAGGACUGGUUUUCACUCAUGAUCAAGGAAUCCAAUUGGAUGUGGCUGAAUGUGAUUCACUACGAAUGAUCUGCUACCUUAGUAUAUUUGUCAUGUUUGGUAGGAAUUAAAAUUUAGAUUUUCAUAUAAAUUAAAGUUAACAAUUAAUUUUAAUUAUAUAUUUAAGUUUUUAAUCAAAUAUUU